GACGAACGCUGGCGGCGUGCCUAAUACAUGCAAGUAGAACGCUGAAGGAGGAGCUUGCUUCUCUGGAUGAGUUGCGAACGGGUGAGUAACGCGUAGGUAACCUGCCUGGUAGCGGGGGAUAACUAUUGGAAACGAUAGCUAAUACCGCAUAAGAGUAGAUGUUGCAUGACAUUUACUUAAAAGGUGCAAUUGCAUCACUACCAGAUGGACCUGCGUUGUAUUAGCUAGUUGGUGGGGUAACGGCUCACCAAGGCGACGAUACAUAGCCGACCUGAGAGGGUGUUCGGCCACACUGGGACUGAGACACGGCCCAGACUCCUACGGGAGGCAGCAGUAGGGAAUCUUCGGCAAUGGACGGAAGUCUGACCGAGCAACGCCGCGUGAGUGAAGAAGGUUUUCGGAUCGUAAAGCUCUGUUGUAAGAGAAGAACGAGUGUGAGAGUGGAAAGUUCACACUGUGACGGUAUCUACCAGAAAG
rnacentral:rRNA from 1 species